AUGAUGGUGAUAGGUGAAAAAAUAGGAUCCAAUGUAGGGAACAGGGGAACUGGACGAUUGAAGGAUGAUGGUGUUGAUAUGAUGUUUGGCGUGAGGAAGAUAAUGGUUAUGGCGACGAUGAAGGUAAUUCUGGUGGGGGAGAGACUAAUUUCCAGGGGGUUCACCCUUGGUCUACGGAGGAAAGUGAAGAAGAGGGUGAAGAUUGAAGAUAAGGGAGUAUGGGUUGUUAUGAAAGUUAUUUGGAGUUUUGUUGUUGUGAACGUGGGGUGGGUUUUGGGGCAAAAGCGUUAA